UACGGGGGGGGCAAGCGUUGUUCGGAAUUACUGGGCGUAAAGGGCUCGUAGGCGGCCAACUAAGUCAGACGUGAAAUCCCUCGGCUUAACCGGGGAACUGCGUCUGAUACUGGAUGGCUUGAGUUCGGGAGAGGGAUGCGGAAUUCCAGGUGUAGCGGUGAAAUGCGUAGAUAUCUGGAGGAACACCGGUGGCGAAGGCGGUUCUCUGGGCCUGUACUGACGCUGAGGAACGAAAGCGUGGGGAGCGAACAGG
rnacentral:rRNA from 1 species